AGGGUUGUGGCUCAGAGGUAGAGCACUUGCCUCAAACACAUGAAGCACUGGGUUCGAUCCUCAGCACCACAG
rfam:Ictidomys tridecemlineatus contig030881, whole genome shotgun sequence.